GGGAAUAUUGCACAAUGGGCGAAAGCCUGAUGCAGCAACGCCGCGUGAGUGAUGAAGGUCUUCGGAUUGUAAAGCUCUGUCUUUUGGGACGAUAAUGACGGUACCAAAGGAGGAAGCCACGGCUAACUACGUGCCAGCAGCCGCGGUAAUACGUAGGUGGCGAGCGUUGUCCGGAUUUACUGGGCGUAAAGGGUGCGUAGGCGGAUGUUUAAGUGAGAUGUGAAAUACCCGGGCUUAACUUGGGUGCUGCAUUUCAAACUGGAUAUCUAGAGUGCAGGAGAGGAGAAUGGAAUUCCUAGUGUAGCGGUGAAAUGCGUAGAGAUUAGGAAGAACACCAGUGGCGAAGGCGAUUCUCUGGACUGUAACUGACGCUGAGGCACGAAAAGCGUGGGUAGCAAACAGGAUUAGAUACCCUGGUAGUCCACGCCGUAAAACGAUGAGUACUAGGUGUAGGAGGUAUCGACCCCUUCUGUGCCGCAGUAAACACAUUAAGUACUCCGCCUGGGAAGUACGAUCGCAA
rnacentral:rRNA from 1 species